CUCUCUGGCAGGCUCUGUGCUCGUGCAUCGACUGUCGGCGCCCCAUCCGCUUCAGUCUUGCCCCAAGCGCAGCUAUUGGCUUGCGGGUGCCAAAGGUAUCCUGUGUUGCUUACCCGCGGAAAGGAAUUCGAUGGUUUUGGUGUCCCCAUCCGCCUUGUGCCCUUCGGGGUGCGGGGUGGACGCGAGGCGGGCUCCGUGUUCCCCGCGCGUUGAGUGUGUUGACACUUGACCGCUGUGGCCCAUGGGGUCUCGACCCGUGCUCUCGGAUGCGGAAUGUUGUGUGUGGGCGUGGGGUCUCGGCCUCUACUCGUCCAAGCUACACGCAUUGUCCCUUAACAUGAACGACCGUCGCGCCCGUCUUGAUCGACUGACCGAGCCCCUAUUGUGGGUUUUCGGGAUGGCGGCUCAUGCGGGUGUCGGCGUCGGAGAGGAAUGCUACCUGGUUGAUCCUGCCAGUAGUCAUUGGCCUUGUCUAAAACGCCCUACGC
rnacentral:misc_RNA from 1 species